rnacentral:rRNA from 1 species
CCUACGGGAGGCUGCAGUAGGGAAUAUUGCUCAAUGGGGGAAACCCUGAAGCAGCAACGCCGCGUGGAGGAUGAAGGUUUUCGGAUUGUAAACUCCUUUUGUUAGAGAAGAUAAUGACGGUAUCUAACGAAUAAGCACCGGCUAACUCCGUGCCAGCAGCCGCGGUAAUACGGAGGGUGCAAGCGUUACUCGGAAUCACUGGGCGUAAAGAGCGCGUAGGCGGGAUAGCAAGUCAGAUGUGAAAUCCUAUGGCUUAACCAUAGAACUGAAUUUGAAACUGUUAUUCUAGAGUAUGGGAGAGGUAGGUGGAAUUCUGGGUGUAGGGGUAAAAGCCGUAGAGAUGAAGAGGAAUACUCAUGGCGAAGGCGACCUGCUAGAACAUAACUGACGCUGAUGCGCGAAAGCGUGGGGAGCAAACAGGAUUAGAUACCCUAGUAGUC